UCAAAUUUCAAUCUUUGGUAAUCAGGCACCCACUUGUUAAUCAGGCACCCACCUGUUAGAACAAGGGAAUAUUUUUCAAGAUUCAAGUUUUGGUAAUCGGGUACCCACCUGAAAAACAAGGGAAUAUAUGUCAAGUCCAACAAUCUGGCAACAAACAUAGAGGAAAGAGAAAACAAGAAGUUAACAAGGCAACAAGGAGUUCACAGGAAGAAAUACAAGGCAGCAAAGCAACAAGGAUAAAGAGCAAGAUUGAAUACAUAGAUAGAUUCUUUUGUACUCCAUGGUUCAUAAUUUACUCUAGCUUCUUUAUUUUUCACAAGGUGUAAUAAAGGGGUCUAGUAGCAGCAGCAGCAGCAGCUGCAACAGCGAGAUCACAGCUUUGGUAGUCCCAGCUACAAACACUCCUGAACUACACUGACCUGAUUCCUCUUUAGCCGAGGUUAUGUAGGCAACCUCUGAAGCAGAGUGCGAUCAAGUUUUUCAAAAUGCUUCUCACGGAUUAUUCAAACGGGCAAAAAUUGCUCGUAUUUGCUCAUUUAUCUUGGCACGAAAACUCUUCGUGUUUUCGCGCAAAGAGGGGCAGCUGUGAGCACGUGAUUUUUGCCCUAUAUAAAUUACUCCCAUAAUUCCAAACAAAAUAAUUUCUUUUCACUAUUUUUAAUUAUUUUUGAUUGAUUUUGUUGCAUUUUCUGUUAAUUGUUUGCAUUUUAUUUGUGUAUUUUAAUUAAUGAAAAUAUACAAAAUACAUGUGGCAUGUGCAUUUAGGAGUAAUUUUGCAUUUUUAAGAAUUAUUAAGUGAUUUGUUUAUAUUUGGAAAAAAAAGGAAAUUCAAAAAUAUUCUAGUCACACUUUAAUUCUAGUUUUGAUUUUUAGGUGAUCUCUUUUCUUUUUAUUUUGCUAUUAUGAUAAUUAUUACUUAGUUUAACUUUAGAAUAUCCACCCUGGAUAAUAUUAUUGAAGAAUUUAUGUUGUAAAAACUUUAGUAGCACAUUCAAUCUUGUUAAAUUAUCAAGUGUGGACUGAUCGCAGAUUUCGCCAGGGAUGUAUUAAUUUAAAAUUUAUAGUUUAAUUGUGAUUUUUUUUUUGAAAAGAGAUUGAAAUAGGAGAAAAGAAAGUUGGAACAUAUGGUCUUAAUUAAAAGACCCAAGUUGGGCCGUUGUAACUAAAGUCCCAGCCCAAUUUUCCCAAACCCCUCACCUGAUACAUGACCCGUGUAACCAAGCCGAAGAAACCUGACCCUACUCGUUCCUAAUUAAAAGAAAAUGGUUUAAUCUCUAAAAUCCCAAAGAACACCCACGCGACUAUGCUUCUUUUUCUCCAAAAGCACCUGAAUCCAGCCCUAACAAUGUCCAAAUUCGAGCGAUCUCUCCUCAUGCGUUCUCCUUUCUCUCCUCUUACCACAGAUAACCAUUUCUGACACUGAAGAUUCUCAUUCCCUUCGCUCGCUCGAUUUGGAGAUAAGGCACGUGAUUAGAAGCUUCUGGGAACGAUUUGGUGGAUGAGUGUGAGGCGUUGGAUUGAUUUCACUUAAUCCAAGCCCCACAUUCGAUUUGGAGAUAAGGCACGCGAUUGGAAGCUUCUGGGAACGAUUUGCUGGAUGAGUGUGAGGCGUUGGAUUGAUUUCACUCAAUUCAAGCCCAACAUUCAUCAGGAAUCCAUUUUCUAAAGGAGCUCGAUCCGAUUUCGAAAGGGGGACUGAAAAAAAAUUCAGAGAAAAAGGGUUUUAAGGUUUCUAAAAUGAACUUCUGGUUUUAAAAUUUUUGGUUUUUUUUGAAGAGUUCUUUCAAGGUGUAAGGGGAACAUAUAUAUAAAAUUGUUUAUCUUUGAAUUUGGUUUGUUGAAUUCUUAAGAGAUAGAAAUGAAUGAAGGUCGUUCAACUGAUGGUGAGAUUUAAGCUUGUCGACUUCGAUUUUCUACUGUCAUCUUGAUGGUUGCAGCUGAACCUCAUUAGGAUUUGGAGUCGAAAGGUGUGUUUUCGAGUCUCUAAUUAUCAGGAAGUUUGAAAUAUCAAAUAAAAUUUCUUUUCUCUUCUACAUUUAUAUUUCAAAGUGUUUGGAAUGGUGAGGUUUUGUUCAAUGGUAUUCUGUCAUGUGAUUCAAUUUUUUGUUGAUGAAUUUCUUCUCAAUGGUGUAAUGUGUUUGGGUAUAUUCAGCCACUAGAAGCUGAGUUUGAAGGGUCAUCUUCUGUUUAGUUGCUAUCAUGAUAUCGAGUUUUUAUGUAAGUCAGGAUUUCAAUUUUUCGGGUCUAAAAGUCUAUUGGAAUGGUUCUGGUGUGGAAAUGGGACAGCCUAUUUAAGGUUGGAUGUGUGCUUGAGUCGCUGCAUCACUGAACAAUAUCAGCUCUUUCUCUGUUGAUUUGAGCUUGCAAUUUGUUGUGCCUUGAUCAAUAUAGGAUUUGUGGUUCCUUUUUAGCUUCAAUAUAAGCUCAUAAAAUCUGUAAACGAUUGUUUUUUGGUGUUCAUCACGACCUGCUAUGAAAGUUGAGAAAUAAGCAAUUCAGUGCUUGUUUUAAAGCUGUAAAUGGUCUAAAUUGCAGGUGUCAAAGAUAAUGUCAUUGCUGGGCUCAUUGCAGCUUCAUUUCUUCCUAACACAAUCAGAUAUAGAUAGAUUUCGUGGUUGUUCAUGAACAUCUCACUUGUAUGGCCAAGUUUAAGGCAGAGUGAAUUCUGAAAUUGUCCUUUACAGUUUGAUACAAGUCUUGUCUGGUUUGAUGCACUAGCUUUUUGCCUUACUGAGUGAUAAUUGCACUCGAGAAUCCUCUUUACUCGACCUAAAACAGUUGGCAUCCUUGGUGGAUGUUCUUAUUGGUUUGUUGUUUGAUUCUCUGCUUUAUCUUAACAUGAUUAAACAAUCACAAGGUAAGAUCAAUAUGUGACUAAAGUUAUGGAUUCUAUCAAUUUGUUUAGAAAUAGAUAAUGGGAGUUAAGGCCAGUAGAAUCAGAUUGUUACGAGUUGAAGCAUCAAUGAGUUUACAGGGACCCCCUAUCAUUAAAUACGUUAUGUGUUGUUGAGGGCAAUCACAUUUCUUCUGCUCAAUUCCUUUCCCAAAGCUGCUUAUGCCUUAAAUAUGUUAUGUGUUGUUGAGGUCAAUCACAUUUCUUCUGCUCAAUUCCUUUCCCAAAGCUGCUUAAACUCGUUUCAUUCCUUUCUAAACAGCAUGGACAAAGGCUUCCAGUUGAAUGCUUUAAAUGUUUGAUUUUCCAAAGUCUCGUGUUUGUUUUGUUUAAUAUUUAUUUGGAGUAUGAAUGUUCUGUUGGCAGAUUGUAAUNNNNNNNNNNNNNNCACUGUGUUUUGUUUAAUAUUUAUUUGGAGUAUGAAUGUUCUGUUGGCAGAUUUUAAUUCUUGAAAGUCAAAGUGCUAAAAUGUUUUGUCUCUGAAGAUGUUGGUACCUGUGUCUUCUGUUGUCAAGAUGUUUUAUUCAAACAUCUCAAUGGUAAUCCUUUUAUUGGAGGUUUUCUUACCUAUGCUGGAUUCAUUGUGUUUUGGGGCAUUUGUUUAGACCGAUAGCCAACUGAAAAGCUGCCUAGUUUUGCACUGUUUAGGCAGCAGAUUUGCGCAGAUUUAGUAGCAGAUUUUGGGAAUUCCAUUUCUUUGUUGCAUGUCCAACUUCUUUUUUUUAUAAGUGUGGUUGAUGAAUUGAUUCACUCGUCGAAAUAGGUUCAUUAAAGUAUAUUAUCUUUGAUUCCCCAAGCAAUAUUUAUGGUUAACUACUAUUUAGUGAGGUAUGUAGUUAAUUGUAUUGAUCUUUAUUAUUCAAGUUGUGCCGCGCCAAAUAAAUCACAAAUUGUGCAGCCCCCAUAUAGAUUUUAUGACAUUAAAAUAGGGGUUAAUGUUCGUAGAAAGCCUUUAGGGCCAUUUAAAAUGUGAUUGUGGUUGCAUAUAUAUUUGCGUAACAUGACCAUAAUUUUAAAUUAAUUAGGAGUAUGCGUUCGCGCAACUUCGGCCAAUCUUUUUCUUAAUAAUGAAGUAGGUUACUAGUUUUAAUUAUUUUUAAUUUACAUGAGUUCAUUAAAUCGCAUAGGGCCUUCUUAGUAAUUUCAUAAAUUGGAUACAAAAAUAAUAUUUCGUAGAAUAUCCAUUAGGGCCUUUUUAAAAUACUAGUGCAAUUGCAUAUACUUCUGCGUAACAUAAUUACACUUUUAAAAACAAAACUUGAGUAUGCGUUCGUACAACUUCGGCCUAAACUCUUCUUUAAAACAAUUAAGUUUUAUUAAUUGUGGACACGUUCGUGUGAGAUGAUUUUUGACGCACCAAACAAGCGGGUAUACGUAUGCAUAACCCGUUUCAAGAUAACUUUCUAAUUAAAAGUAGUAAAAGAAGUAAAAGCGCAUAGGUUUAAAUAAUCAGUAAUUAAACAAUUUAACAAGCCAAGUAGGAUCAAAGCGACCGUGCUAGAACCACGGAAUUCGGGAGUGCCUAAUACCUUCUCCCAGGUUAAAUGAAUUCCUUACCCGGAUUUGUGAUUCGCAGACUAUAAUAACAGAGUCAUUCUUUCCUCGAUUCGGGAUUUUAAACCGGUGGCUUGAGACACCAUAAAAUUAUCCCAAGUGGCGACUCUGAAUUUUAAUAAUUAAUCCCGUUUCGAUUGUCACUUAAAUUGGAAAAAACUCCCUUUAUUAUAUCCUUUCCGGGUAUAGUAAUGAAAGAAGUAGGUGUGAUAGCUCAACGACGAUAACAAAGGCUUCAUUAAUACAUAAACGUGAAUACAAUUUAUAACAAACAUACACACCAAAAUGAGCGACAAACCAAAAAGAAACGAAGCAAUAAUCAAAUUCAAUCGUGCACCUAUGAAAUCAGUCAGGCAUAUGGCUGUAAUAAUUCACAUUUUUCAUUCAUAGCUUUAAAGUAAAACACAAAUGAUCAUUUACAUACCUAAUUGCCAAAAAUGACGACAAAAUCGGUCCUAAUGAAGGUCAUGGAAGCUGGAUACGGACAGACUCGACCGGAAAUUUAUUGACCUUCGAUGCAAUCAUGACUAGGCCUCGAAACCAGUAUCACUUCGGUGUCGGAUUGACGAACAGAACCAGGACUAACAUUUUUUUUCUAGACAAAAGAGAAAUCUGCGGCUGUUGUUGUGGACGAGAGGGGUUGCUGGGCAUUUUCCAGCAUCAAGUUUCUACGAAGAAGACAAUGUUCAGGAGGACGAGCUGCUGCUAUGGAUCUUUUGGUUCUGUUUGUCGCAGCUAGAGCUCAUCAAUCCGACGAGCUGCUGGAGCUCGUUUCUUUUUCCGGCGAUGGGGAGGGGUCGUGAUUUGGUUCUGCCACUGGCUUGGUUUAGUAUCUAGAUUUUAUAUCUCCUAAAUUUUGUUGGUGUUUGAAUGGAGAAGAAGCAGACCCAUGAGGUAUGUGAAGAAGACGAAAAAGCAGAGGGGUGGAGGGGGGGUUUUUCGUUUUUUAACUGUUGCGGAUCCUCUCCCCGUUAUACGGCGUGUAUCAGUGUAUUGUAUUGUGUGUAUAGGUGUGCCUUUCUUCGAGCUUUUUUCAAGGAGGAACAAAGUUGCGUUGCCUUUUGUUACAGGCGUCCCUUUUCUUCUGUGUAUGCGUAUUGUGUUUCCGCCUCCUCUGUAUUGUGUAUUGUAGGUCUAGGUUUUGUUUUAGGUGGGAAAUGGGUUUGGGUAUAGGGUUGGUUAGGGCCGACCCGGUUUGGGGUUGGGUAGGGGCUAAUUUGGGUUGGGUUUUAAAAAUGG
rnacentral:lncRNA from 1 species